AAAUCAAAACUGAUAUGUAUCCA
rnacentral:snRNA from 1 species